GAGCGCUGAGGUUGGUACUUGUACCAACUGGAUGAGCAGCGAACGGGUGAGUAACGCGUGGGGAAUCUGCCUUUGAGCGGGGGACAACAUUUGGAAACGAAUGCUAAUACCGCAUAAAAACUUUAAACACAAGUUUUAAGUUUGAAAGAUGCAAUUGCAUCACUCAAAGAUGAUCCCGCGUUGUAUUAGCUAGUUGGUGAGGUAAAGGCUCACCAAGGCGAUGAUACAUAGCCGACCUGAGAGGGUGAUCGGCCACAUUGGGACUGAGACACGGCCCAAACUCCUACGGGAGCAGCAGUAGG
rnacentral:rRNA from 1 species